AAUUUGCCAGACAUGGUGGUGCAAGCCAGUGGUUUCAGCUACUUGGGAGACUGAGGUGGGAGGGUUGCUUGAGCCUGGGAGGUCAAGGUUGCAGUGAGCCGAGAUUGCGCCACUGCACUCCAGCCUGGGUGACAGAGCAAGACCCUGUCUCCAAAAAAAAAAAAAAAAAUGUGUAUAGUUUUCGUACUCACAUAUUUACACACUGGCCAGGCAAACAGUGCGCCUGCAGGAGACCCCCUGGGUCUUUCCCUUCCUUUGUACCGCUGUCUCGCUCUCCCUUCCUCACCCUCUUUCUUCUACAAAUAUUUAUCAGAGUCCUUCGGGGGCUAAGGCAUGCUGGCCCACACACUGUCAGGAUCACAAAAAAGCUAAAUAUAAAUAUGCCUCCCAGAGCUUCGGAUAUCAGAACCCAAGUUAGCUGGGACCCAAAGUCUCUGGAAGGCUAGAAAGUUAAUACGGGACGACGUCUCUUGGGACAAGGCAGGUUUUAUCUGUUAAAGAAGAAACUUCUGGCUUGUGUGAGUCACUCAGGCUGCCUGGACUCCUGGGUCUCCCCCUGGAGGGUUGCAUGGUGGGACUUCAUGCAUGAAAAACAGAUUUCACGAUUUCACUAAAAUUGGUUCGAGGCAUCCUGUGUGUCCGGCCCUGGUCUGGUGAUGGUUUCCAGGGCGCAGGAGAAGGUGUGUGGGUCAGCAGGGUUCUCUGGGAAAGAAGACGGGAAGAUGGCCUUCAGAUUUGGCAGCCAUGGGCCACCUGACUCUUCACAUUGAGCCUUGGAGCUGGCCAGCUAGAGGGCAGUUGGGGAGAACACUCCAGGUCACAAGAGAAGGCCGAGCUGGGAGGGAGGGUCUCUAAGGUGUAGCAGCUGGAACAAGAACGGGCGGAGCAGCUUCGUUCAAGAUCAGAGACCGGCCAGGUGCCCACCGACGGGAGAAUGGAUGAACACGCCGUGGCGUUUUGUGCAGUGGAAUGUCACUCUGUAGCAGAAAGGGACAAAUGACAGCGUGGGUGAGGCUCAGCAAGGCUGUGCUGAGUGGAAGAAGCCCUGCCCAGACGGGCACCCCCGGUGCAAUUCCGUGUCUGUCACGUCCCAGCACCGGCAGAUCCACCCAGUGGUGGCAAGAGCCCAGACGAACGGUGGUCGCUGUUGUGCAUGGGCAGGACUGAGCAGGAAAUGGCAGGAAGCAGGAAGGGCUUCGGGGAUGUGGUAACAUGUACUUUGAUACGGGUUUGGGUUACACAGGUCUAUGCGUUUGCCCAAACUCAGCAAAUAUUUAAGCAACUGUAAACAAAUGUUGGCCAUGAGCUAGCAAUAUGCACACUAAGAUAUUAAAUAGAGGACGGUGCUGGAGUCUGCAGUCUGCUCUGUCGUUUGUCCAAAAGCCAAGGUGGAUGGAUGGUUGGGUGAGGGAGGAUUGACGGGCGGCUGCCUGACCAGGCAGGGAGAGCCAGUGUCCAUGCGGCCUCCGGGUAGUGAGGACGCGAGCUGCACUGUGAGAUCCUCUCUGCCUUGUUGUGUGUUUGAAA
rnacentral:lncRNA from 1 species